AAACAGAGAGCAUUAUUUGGUUUAAUUGAUUCAAAAACACCAGAGGACCACGACCAGGACACCAUGAGCCCCCAUUCCUACACGCGUGCCUCACAUGCUCUCUCCCCAAUGCCUCCGUUUCUCCAGAAAAGCUAGAGGAAUCUUUUCCUCAUACCCUUCGAAGGAAAAGAUGAGUGAGGAUCUCCGCGUUGGAGGAAGAGGGAGUCGAAAGAGGCUUCCACUCUUUGAAAAAGGCUUCCAUGCUUCUCUGUGACAUCCCCCAAAAACAGGCAGAGUCUAAGAUGUGCAUGUACCCACUCAAGCCUCAAGCUUGUAUCUGUAUCCAUAUCCAGGGACAUGAACAAGAACUGAGACCCAAUGGUGGUUGGGCUUCGGGUCACGUGACACAUUCUUUGUAGCUCCGGAAGAGGAUUGUGAAGUUUAGGGAUAAUUGAGGAAAAAAAAAUCAAGAUUUGGGGGGAAUUACCUACAAAGAUGUAAGGUGUGUUAAUUUGGGCGCUUCUUGGAUUCUACCCUGAGGAGGAGGCGCGUGGUGAGAGGAGAG